CCCCAUCUCUCUGGGAGGGUUUGAACACGGUCAGCACGGACCUGGGCGGACGGCGCGGGACGGGUGAUCACUGGCGUUGCUGAGGAAAUGUGCUCACCCAUGAGACAGGGAUGGCAAGAAGAUAUGAAUGAAAAGCAACCAGUCCGUAAAAUUGGAAGCCAUUUCACUCCUUACCAGGUACAAAGAUAACAUGCUGCAUGGAUCAGGGACACAAACUUACCUACCUUAUGAUGUAGUGAAAGAAUCUAAAACUUUUGUGAGGAUGUUGGCAGCACUUCCACAGAGAGGAUCAUUUUUUGUAGAAGUAUGGCAUGGUUUCACUGCUUGACCAAGAGGCCACCUGCAUCAAUUAUCAUCUCCCCUGCUGUCCUCU
rnacentral:lncRNA from 10 species